GAGUUUGAUCAUGGCUCAGAACGAACGCUGGCGGCAGGCUUAACACAUGCAAGUCGAGCGCCCCGCAAGGGGAGCGGCAGACGGGUGAGUAACACGUGGGAACCUACCUGAAGGUACGGAACAACUCCGGGAAACUGGAGCUAAUACCGUAUGUGCCCGAAAGGGGAAAGAUUCAUCGCCUUCAGAUGGGCCCGCGUCAGAUUAGCUAGUUGGUGAGGUAACGGCUCACCAAGGCGACGAUCUGUAGCUGGUCUGAGAGGAUGAUCAGCCACACUGGGACUGAGACACGGCCCAGACUCCUACGGGAGGCAGCAGUGGGGAAUAUUGCGCAAUGGGGGAAACCCUGACGCAGCGACGCCGCGUGGGUGAUGAAGGCC
rnacentral:rRNA from 1 species